rnacentral:rRNA from 1 species
GAUGAACGCUGGCGGCGUGCCUAAUACAUGCAAGUCGAGCGAACAGACGAGGAGCUUGCUCCUCUGACGUUAGCGGCGGACGGGUGAGUAACACGUGGAUAACCUACCUAUAAGACUGGGAUAACUUCGGGAAACCGGAGCUAAUACUGGAUAAUAUAUUGAACCGCAUGGUUCAAUAGUGAAAGACGGCUUUGCUGUCACUUAUAGAUGGAUCCGCGCCGCAUUAGCUAGUUGGUAAGGUAACGGCUUACCAAGGCGACGAUGCGUAGCCGACCUGAGAGGAUGAUCGGCCACACUGGAACUGAGACACGGUCCAGACUCCUACGGGAGGCAGCAGUAGGGAAUCUUCCGCAAUGGGCGAAAGCCUGACGGAGCAACGCCGCGUGAGUGAUGAAGGUCUUCGGAUCGUAAAACUCUGUUAUUAGGAAAGAACAAAUGUGUAAGUAACUAUGCACGUCUUGACGGUACCUAAUCAGAAAGCCACGGCUAACUACGUG